rnacentral:rRNA from 1 species
CACCGGCGCCACAAGUGGUGAUCAUAUUUAUUGGGUCUAAAGCGUCCGUAGCCUGCUUUGUAAAUUCUUAGUGAAAUUGUUUAGCUUAACUUAACAGCUUGCUAAGAAGACUGCAUGGCUUGAGACCGGGAGGGGGUAGAGGUAUUCCUAGGGGAGCGGUAAAAUGCAAUAAUCCUUGGAGGACCACCAGUGGCGAAGGCUUCUAUCCAGAACGGGUCUGACGGUGAGGGACGAAGGCUAGGGGAGCAAAAUGG